rnacentral:rRNA from 1 species
CCUACGGGGGCUGCAGUGGGGAAUAUUGGACAAUGGGCGAAAGCCUGAUCCAGCCAUGCCGCGUGUGUGAAGAAGGCCUUCGGGUUGUAAAGCACUUUCAGUGGGGAAGAAAGCCUUGGGGCUAAUACCCUCGAGGAAGGACAUCACCCACAGAAGAAGCACCGGCUAACUCCGUGCCAGCAGCCGCGGUAAUACGGAGGGUGCGAGCGUUAAUCGGAAUUACUGGGCGUAAAGCGCGCGUAGGCGGUCUGAUAAGCCGGUUGUGAAAGCCCCGGGCUCAACCUGGGAACGGCAUCCGGAACUGUCAGGCUAGAGUGCAGGAGAGGAAGGUAGAAUUCCCGGUGUAGCGGUGAAAUGCGUAGAGAUCGGGAGGAAUACCAGUGGCGAAGGCGGCCUUCUGGACUGACACUGACGCUGAGGUGCGAAAGCGUGGGUAGCAAACAGGAUUAGAUACCCCAGUAGUC